rnacentral:rRNA from 1 species
GCCUACGGGAGGCAGCAGGGGGAAUAUCGCAUGGGCGAAAGCCUGACGGAGCAAUGCCGCGUGGAGGUGGAAGGCCUACGGGUCGUCAACUUCUUUUCUCGGAGAAGAAACAAUGACGGUAUCUGAGGAAUAAGCAUCGGCUAACUCUGUGCCAGCAGCCGCGGUAAU